rnacentral:rRNA from 1 species
CCCUUAGAUGUUCUGGGCCGCACACGCGCUACACUGAAGGAGGCAGCGUGUACUCCUGGAUCGAAAGAUUUGGGUAACCCGCGAAUCUCCUUCGUGCUAGGGAUUGAGGUUUGCAAUUAUCCUUCAUGAACGAGGAAUUCCCAGUAAGUGCAAGUCAUAAGCUUGCGCUGACUACGUCCCUGCCCUUUGUACACACCGCCCGUCGCUACUACCGAUUGCAUGAUUUAGUGAGGACUUCGGACUGGGACCGAUGCGGCUUUCGGGCUGCGUCGGUAUUCUGGAAAGAUGUCCAAACUGUAUCAUUUAGAGGAAGUAAAAGUCGUAACA